rnacentral:rRNA from 1 species
UACGAAGGGGGCUAGCGUUGUUCGGAAUUACUGGGCGUAAAGCGCGUGUAGGCGGGUCUUUAAGUCAGGGGUGAAAUGCCAAGGCUCAACCUUGGAACUGCCUUUGAUACUGGAGACCUUGAGUCCGGGAGAGGUGAGUGGAAUUGCGAGUGUAGAGGUGAAAUUCGUAGAUAUUCGCAAGAACACCAGUGGCGAAGGCGGCUUACUGGUCCAUUACUGACGCUGAGGUGCGAAAGCGUGGGGAGCAAACAGG